CGGUCCCCGGAGGGGGUGGGGACGCUGGGGGAGGAAGGGAGCGAGUGCGUCCGUUAGAACUUCCUUCUGUCCAGAUUACCCCUCAAUCACACAAGAAUCUCUGAACUCUGAACCACCUGCCCACACAAGGCCAGGCUUCAUUCCCACCUCAGCAGUCCCUCCUGGUAUAAGUCCAUUGAUGCUUUCAACCUGCUGGUUCUUUCUGACAUGACUUGAGGAGAAGGACAAGGAGAAGCCAAAGAGGAAGAAGAAGAAGAUGAAAGUCCGGGAGAUGCAAAAGACAGAAUAAAAGUCCAAAGAGGGGACCACAGCAAAAACUGAGCAAUCCCCUUCUCGUCUAAAUCCCUGAGUCUUUCCCACACUUAAGAAAAGAGAGAACUGGUUUCCAUAACUCUAACUUCUCCAAGUAACUUUUUCAAGUGAUAUUUUGAUCCUGGACCGGUCUCUAUCUCCCCAACCUGAAGAAGGAGCCAGAUUUGUGGCGACCACACGGAAAGAGGCAGCAGGCAGCCGCAUGCAGGCAUCCAGCAGUGUGUCUCUCACAGCAGACUCGGUAUCCCCAGUGUGAAGAGCCCAGGCCUGGCCCAUUAGGCUGUGACUGCAAACAAUCCCCCUGCUCCAAGCAGCCUUUGCAGUGACUACCCCAAAUCCCUAAGCAGAUUCCUGGACUGAGAGAAACACAGUUCAUAGCACCAACGUUCUACACAGCUAGAUUUGGUAGGGAAAAAGAACAGAAAAUCCACCACCACCACCACCACCCACCCAAUUCUGAAAUCGCUCAUGAAAUAAUGUGUGGUAUUGGUGCAUGUAUGGUGCAUAUAUGACAGUUUCAUACUUUGGGCCGAGGAAGGAAUGAUGUUUCAGAAAUAUUUCUCCCCUACGUAGCACCAAAGGCUGCUUUAUGUCCUGCUCUUCUGAAUCUACCUUCUGUAAACCAUAUUGUGCAUUUUCUCUUGGAUCUUAAUGAAACAAGAACUGUGCAAAAGCGACUGCUUUGUCCCAGAGCUGAAACAAAGACUAAUACAGAGCAAAGGAGCAGCCCUUCCAAGAUGUACUCUUCUCUGACUUGGGAGGAAAGCUCCUAGAGUGACCCGCCAUAAUCGUGGUUGAUAUUUAAUCCUCCUUAGUACAAAGGCCCAUCUUUUCACUCUGCAGAAGCACCACUGAGAUAUGACCAGCCUUUAGAGUUCUAUCCCAAACUGAGAGUCCGGACUUAGACUUGGAUUGUCUAGGCCUCUUCUAACCUGAACAAAAAGGAUCUGAAGAAAAUCGCUUCCC